rnacentral:pre_miRNA from 1 species
UGGAAGACUAGUGAUUUUGUUGUCCUGGAAUAGCUCGGCAACAAGUCACAGCCAGCCUCA